AUUCUUUGUGCAGCCGCCCCCCAUUCCCCUACCCUCUUGGCCGCCCCCCCCCUCCCAUCUCCUCCUUUCUCAAGCACUUGCAGCCACACAUCAAACCCUAGCCGCCUCCCCCCCAUCUCCUCCUCCCAUGGUGCCAUUCGUUGCCGCUCGGAUCUCCGUCGCGUGGUGCAACUCUUCAACGGUUUUCGGUGGAGGGAGGAAGGGAGGAAGAAAAGGGGGAGAACCCAAGGUACUUGAUACAUGUUGGAAAUGAGGGGAGUAGCGGCACGUCCACUUUUACUCUCACAAUAACGCUGCCCAGGCGCAGCCAUGAUUUAAUUAGAAACUUAUUGUCAAAGGAAGUUUGUUUUCUUUAUAUGGUCGUGCGCACUGGUUAAUUCAGUUCAGGUCGUAUGUUUAUCUUUCCUUGCUAGUCGAUUAAUAAUACUUAGUAUGUUUUAGUCCUAAUAUAUGUUUAUACUCUGUUGCCCCCUCUUUUAUGCAAUCUUGCAAAGGGGAUGCUGCCGAAAUUUUAUAUAUGGACGUCGGAAGUGUAGUUCAGUAGCAUUCCGGGUUGUUUGUGGAACCCGGAGUGUUACAAGAAGAUAUCACUGAACUGCUAUCAACAUACUCUUGACAUAGUGAACUUUUAUCACCA